GAUGAACGCUGGCGGCGCGCCUAACACAUGCAAGUCGAACGAUUAAAGCACCUUCGGGUGUGUAUAAAGUGGCGAACGGCUGAGUAACACGUGGGCAACCUGCCCCUUUCAUUGGGAUAGCCACGGGAAACCGUGGAUAAUACCGAAUACUUCGAGACUUCCGCAUGGAAGACUCGAGAAAGCUCCGGCGGAGAGGGAUGGGCCCGCGGCCUGUUAGCUUGUUGGUGGGGUAACGGCCUACCAAGGCAAUGAUGGGUAGCUGGGUUGAGAGACCGACCAGCCAGAUUGGGACUGAGACACGGCCCAGACUCCUACGGGAGGCAGCAGUGGGGAAUCUUGCACAAUGGGCGAAAGCCUGAUGCAGCGACGCCGCGUGCGGGAUGAAGGCCUUCGGGUUGUAAACCGCUUUCAGCAGGGACGAGGCGAAAGUGGCGGUACCUGCAGAAGAAGCCCCGUCUAACUACGUG
rnacentral:rRNA from 1 species